GAGGCGGUGCUUUUUCUGUUAGCGUCCGUGUGCUAACAUUUCGCUAGAUGGAUGGGCUUUGAUAGUUUGUUAGAAUACUUUACGGAGAACUGCUUGUUGAUCAAGCUAGGGCCUGAGUAGGGGUACUCAUUCAACCCGAACCUAACCCUGGCCCACAAACUGUUGAAGUUUGUUGGGCUAGGGGUUCUCUCGGACUCAGUAACAACAGACGUUUCUAGAUUUGUCGUUUUGUCGGUCAUUUCUUCAUCGCGCCCCUGAAUGGCUGAAAAGACAGAAUGUCAAUGCGAGAACGCAGCCGGUGUGGAUUCAUCAUCACUCGCCGCCCAGUACCAGCAAGCGGAUGCUGUCGCUUCGGAGGACUGUCGAGCAACUCAAGCGGAGACGGCGACCUGCACGCCAAUGAUCGGAAUGCAUCCUGGAUCAUCGCCUGCAGAAGCACGUCAACUCCCAGGUGCGGUGCGACAGUUUAAGGAGAGUCUACGGCGUCGCUACCGCUCUGCCAAGACUCCGCGCAUAUAGCACUGUGUGUUUCAGUUUUCAGUAUACUGGCUGGUGAUUGCCCUAGUAUUGUCCAGAACCUUGGACGGUGAUAACAGAGCCGGUUGCCUAACUAGAUCCUAACCGUGUACAGUAGAUUGUAUAGAUUGUGUAUGGAGUGUUUUUAACAUGUGGUCCCAGCUGCUCGAUUAAUCUACUUUGCAUAUUUGGUUUAGAUGCUCCGGUGAUAAUUUUACAGUGCUCUUUCA